UUGCUGCAACAAACAGUUUCCAUGACACAAACGUACUUGGAAAAGGAGGUUUUGGCAAAGUCUAUAAGGGAAUACUAGAAGAUGGAAAGGAAGUUGCUGUUAAAAGGCUUAGCAAGGGUUCUGAUCAGGGGAUAGAGCAUUUUAGAAAUGAAGUGGUUCUUAUUGCCAAAUUGCAGCACAAGAAUCUAGUUAGACUUCUUGGCUGUUGUAUUCAUGAGGAUGAGAAGUUGCUUAUUUAUGAAUACUUACCCAACAAAAGCCUGGACCAGUUUCUUUUUGAUAUUGCAAGGAAGUUCAUGCUUGAUUGGCCG